rnacentral:rRNA from 1 species
AUGGCGGAGCUGGCGUCGGGCGCCGUGGGGACGCUGCUGGGCGUGAUCGGCCAAGAGGCGCUGAGGCUCGGCCGCGUCCGGCAUGACGUGCAGUUCAUCCAGGAGGAGAUGGAGAGCAUGGGCAGCUUCCUCGCGAACCUCUCCGGGAACAGCCGCGAGCACGACGAACAGGUCCGCACCUGGAUGAACCAGGUCCGGAUUCUCGCCAACGACUGCAACAACUGCAUCGACCUAUACCUCUACCGUGGGGACCCCGCUCUCCACUUGCCCAAGGAAGGCCCCGGCCGCUACCUCCGGUGGGCUCCCUGGCUGCUGCGCAAGCUGCUCGCACAACAUCGCGCAGCCGGCCAGCUGAGGGAGCUCAAGGACCGGGCACAAGACAUCGGCAACCGCCGAAUGAGAUAUGGCGUCGAGGUCAAAACAGAGUCAUCGUCUUCCGGAGCUGGGCUUACGGAGUCAUUAUUGCUGUCAGCCACACAAGACCAUGAAGAAGAAGAAGAAGACGAUGACGACCAACAUGGUGAUGAUCCACUGAAGGUGGCCUUGUCCAUGACUACUAUGUGGAUGGACAAGGAAGACUACUUUAGGAGGAGGCUAGAUGACUGGAUUGGAUCGGUGGUGCAGGCGGCGGUGGAGGCGGAGGCAGCGAAGAAAGGCAUAAAGUUAAAUGCGGAGGCGGCGACCGGAUCAAAACCAUUACUACCAUCCAUCGCCUUUGUAGCGAAGAACGAGUACGCCGACCAUCUUCGGUGUAAAGUCUUGGAAGUGGCAGACGGCCAUUUCAAGAGGGCGAAGGGCGUCCAAGAUAAGGUUGUCCCACCGACGACCAAGGACGCCGGGAAUAUCAUAGUCUUCGUCGACAUCCGCGCGGUGCACUACCAUAAUGUACCGCUACGACCCCACAAGAUUCUCUGCUACAUCCUGGCUGAGCUCGAGCCGCAGCAAGGCAAAGCUUCUACUUACAGAAAAAGAUGGGGUACUUACAAAUACGCAAGGAAGACGAUUCAUGAAAUCAAGGUCAAGAUAAAUAAAGUGAAUGUCGACGGGAAGAUCAAUGACAUCGUAGUAUCCAAUCUUGGUGAUAGUAAAGAUCAGCCGUGGGACCUGCAAAUUUUGGACAAUCUACAGGAGAAGCAAGAAAUUGGCGGUGAAGAAUUGGGCCGACUCCUGCGGCUGCUUAUCUACCACUCAACUAGUACUGCUGCUGCAACUGAAAAGGACAAAAAGAUUAAAUCUGGAGUAUCAGAGUUGUACGAUGACAUCAUCAAGCAAACAGCCAGGAACCUUAAAUUGAAAAUAGAAGAAGGAUGCUCAAGCUCAGAGCUGCAGGAGCCCAAAUCAGGCGGCUCAAGCCCAGAGCUGCAGGAGCUCGAAUAUGAAGACAUCUUGAAGACGGUGUUCCCAGAAACGAACGCCAGCAGCAUUACCACCACCACUGCUGCCAAUAGUCCUCACAGCACAUUGGUCGACGAUCAAAUCCAAGAAAUGGUCAGAAGGGUUACAGAAAUGAUGCAUGAUCUCAGGGAAUUAGAAAAAUCUGACAAGACAACCCCGGAAGCUGAUUUUCACGAAAGCAUAGUGAAGAAGAAGGCAGAGAUCAUAAAGAAGAUUAGGAAGCAGCUCAAGGUUAAAAUGAUGAUGCAAAAGAUUAAAAAACGCUUGGAAGGUGAUCAAAGGAUCCUGGUCAUACUGGAAGUUUAUGACAAGCAUGUGCCUGUAUGGCAAGAGACCAGAAACAGUUUGAUCUCGUUGGAAUUGGAGUGCCCCAUCGCAGGUGCUGUGUUCGUGGUCACAAAGACCACUCAACAGGAUUUUUCCUGUCCAGACCUGAUGGACCGUAUAGAAUAUUCUCUUGUUGGCCUCUACCUUGAUACUGUGGUCCAUCAUACAGGCCAGCAUAUGAAUGAUCCACAAACCCGCCUGAUUCUUCGCAACAUCUUGCGUGAGUGCGAGCCACAUGAAUUCUGCAUGAAGAUCUUUGCUCAAGCAUUGUACACCAAACCCAAGAGGAGCAGAGAAGAGUUGAGCAAGCUGCACAGCUCCUUGUGUGCACGUGACACACCAGAAUCAUUGCCCAGUAUGAUGCUCAAAUUCUCCUACAGGGAGCUACCUAAAGACUACAGGUCCUGUUUGUUGUACCUCGCUAUCUUCCCUCAAGGAGAACCCAUCAGGCGGUCAACCUUGAUAGAACGAUGGGUUGCAGAAGGGCUGAUAACAACCAAAGACUGGAGCUGGUCCUCUUCAGUGGUUGAAGCCGAGAAAUGUUUUGAUACGCUCGUCGCCCGGUGCCUUGUUUGUCCUUCUGACAUUGGUGCUACUGGAAAGGUCAAGAGCUGCACAGUCCAUAAGCUAGUUUAUGGAUUCAUUACCAAGAUCGCCAAGAAGCAGCGCAUUCUGCAGACACGGCUGUCACGUCACUUGGCUCAUCACUUCUCCAUAUUCAGCGAUGUCCGCCUUCGCAGCUCUGAAACAAUUGAAGAUUUUUUGAAAAAGUCAUCUCAGUUCUCCAAGCUUAAGGUACUAGAUCUAGAAGGCUGUCGUUGCUUCCAACAGAAGAACCAGUGCUACCUGAGGGACAUAUGCAGGAAGAUACUGAUGCUCAAGUAUCUCAGCUUGAGGAGAACGGAUGUUACCAGUCUGCCGAGUGAAAUCAACAAUCUUCAUGAGCUAGAGGUAUUGGAUAUCCGGGACACCAACAUUCCUGCAUAUGAAACAAGAACUGUCCUGCUCCGAAAGCUGAAGCGUCUGUUGGCUGGUCAAAAGCUGAAGCGUGUGUUGGCUGGUGAAGUUGAUCCAAGUCCAAGCAGUCCUACUGACUUCCCCAGUGUCCAGAUGCCUGAGAAGAUUAAAAAAAAGGAGAGUCUGGAGGUACCGUGCAAUGUCAAGCCGAAGAAUCGUCUGAAGCGUCUAUUGCCUGGUCAUGUUGAUUCAAGUCCUGCUGACUUCUCCAGUGUGCAGAUCCCUGAGAAGGUCGAAAAAAUGGAGGGUGUGGAGGUAUUGUCCAAUGUCAAGCCCAAGAGUCAUCAAGACUUGAAAGAUAUUGGAGGUCUAAAUGAGCUGAAGAAGCUCGGCGUGGUUAUCAACAAGGAGAGUGACCUACAGCGAUUGCUUAAAUCAAUCAAUGAUCUCCUAAAACAGUCCCUCCGUUUUCUGUCAAUUACUCUUGACAUAAGCAUAUACAAGGGCUCUUCAUCAGAGCUGAGUCUGGUAAACAGCCCCAAGUAUCUCGAGAGCCUAACUAUAAAUGGAAGCAAAAAGUGCCCCAACGAAAGCACUAGCACACAUAUGGGGAAGAUUCUUGAAUUAUUGACCAAUAAUGGCAAUAAACUUGCCAAGGUAACUCUAAGUUGCACUUUUCUGAGCCAGGAACACCUGAAUGUACUUGCCAAGCUUGAGAACUUACGGUGUGUCAAGCUUCGACACAAUGCGUACACUAAGAGCAAUCUCAUCUUCAAAGAGGGUGAAUUCAAGAAUCUCAACAGAUUUCUUGUUGAGGGAACCAACAUGACUGAAAUCAUAUUUGAUAAUGGAGCUGCUACUCAGCUCGAGAAAAUCGUUUUGUCCUCCACCAACAUAGUCCCUAUCAGUGGAGUUAAUUACCUUCAAAAUUUGGAGGAGCUCGAGCUGAACCACAUCAAGAACAAGGGCAGGUUGCAUUCAUUACUUCACAAUGCCGAUCACAUAACCAAGGUGACCCUUCGUGAUACAUUGCUGGAGCAAAGUGAUCUGGAAAUCCUGGCCCAGAAACCAAAUAUGCGCUGCAUAGUGCUCUUGGACAAGACUGGUAGUCAGCUUAUCUUGAACAAAGAUGAAUUCCAAAACGUCAACCUUCCUAUUGUCGACAAACUUCCUACACCAAAAGAGCUAAACGGUGGCAUUGUCCCUGAUGAGGUGAAAGAAGACAUCAAAACACCAGAAGCUAGGUAG